ACGGAAAAGAGAUAAGGAAUGC
rnacentral:miRNA from 1 species